rnacentral:lncRNA from 1 species
GAGCCGCCGUGACGUCACGGGCCACCCGCCAGCCCCGCGCUCUACCAGGCAGAGCGCGUGUGGCCGCCGAGCACAUGGACCCACUGGUCAAGCGGGCUCGGCAAGGCCAGGAUGAAGAGAAGCUACGAACUUAGCAUUCCCAGAGCCCCCCGAGUGGAUAUCCGCGUGGAAAGGAUGUUGGCAGCCCCGGUGACCUCGGAGUCACGGCUGGAUCCACCCUCUUAGAGCCGAGUUCUGUCACCACAGACAUUGGCAGUGGCACUUGCAUGCCCCUGGCAAGCAGUCUAUCCUGAGGUGGAGGAAGUUGCCCUUGAGUUCUGGCUGGUAACCAGCACAGUAUACCCUUUAAGCGUUCCAGAAGGAUUUUGAGAUCCUUUCCUAAAUCAAAGGUGGAAUAUUUGGGGAUUUGGAAAAUUGAGAUGUGAAGCGUUGACUUAAGAGAUGCCAAGUAACUCAGCAGAUGUCACACAGACGAUAAAUAGCAAAGAUGGAAGUCUUCAUGCCGGAGGCAAUCCUAUAAGACAGCUGAGUUCUGCAGAGCUGGUAGGAGACAGACUUGCUCAGGUGAUAGAUCCAGCCAUGAUACUGACCCUAAGAGAAUGAGACGCUCUGCAGAAGACAGAAGAUUCCUGAAACUGGGAAAGGUGCCUAGAAAUCCUGAUAAGAGUGAAGAAGGCUCGGCUCUCCAGUGUGGUUUUCCAACAGGAGUCAAAUAUUAAAGGACAUGAGCGUGUUGGGGAAAAAGAUGGAUAGUGCUAAACAGCCUGAGUUCAUCCUCACUAUCCUCUUCAUAAGGAGAGCAAGAACAACCCCGGAAAUGGCUCAUGCUUAAGGUUUCUAACCACGGUCACACCUACAACACACUGAUUGACAAUAUAGGUUACAGUACACAUGGCUCUGCUAUUUGCUUUUUGGUCACUUUGAUAUUCCCUGGUACCUGGGAAGAAGGAAUCUCCGUUGAGGAGUUGCCUACAUUUGAUUAGCCCGUAGGCAUGUCUCUGAGGCCUUUUCAUAGUUGCUAAUUGAUGGAGGACAGCUUAGCCCACUGUGGGUGGUGCCAUCUCCUGGACAUGGGGUCCUGGCUUAUAUCAGAAGGGAAGCUAAGCAUGCGCCUGGGAGCAAGCCAGUAAGUAGGUCUCCUCCAUGGUCCCUGUCUCUGCUCCUGCCCUUAAUUUCCUCAGCGAAUGACUGAUGCAAACAUGUAAGCCAAACAAACCCUUCUUUCCUCUCUGUUACUGUUGGUCGUGGUGUUUAUCACAGCAAUAGGAAAAAACACUAGGGCAGUGACGUAUAAGAGUGCACUGUGCCAUUGUGAGGAUUCAAUAUCCUUAGCGAUCUUCAGAAAAAGUUUACUAUGGUGCCUGGAGCAUUGUUAUUUGCAGAGAUCCCUAGUGGCUCCUGGGCCUCAGUUUCCCUGUCUUCAUUCUGUCUGUAUUAUAUAAGCAUGGUGUCCAUAGCUCUAGCUCUUGCUUAAUGAUUCAACUGAGUAGGUACAACCAUGCUGACCAGCCAUGACAUGUCCUGCCUGGCCAUAGCCUGGAGUUGGACACAGAAACAGGGGCAUAGCUGCCUACUGUGUGUGGCACAGUGUGUGUCAAACUCCUGGAGGCAGCCAGGCAGCCAUCUCUAUAUUCUUCCUAUCAGAAUUCCUUUCACAGGUCCAAGCCAUCUUAAGAUGGAUAAAGGCCUGGCCUUCAGGCAAGGCUAUGCCUGUCAGUUCCGAAUCUCCAGCUAAGUGGACUUGCAGCCCUCCCUGUCCUCUGGAUGUCUGCAUCAUUCAUACAAGGGACACGUUCUCUUUAGAGAAGAGCGUCUUCUGGGCUUCUCCCAGGUUGGAAGUGUCCUCUACUUCUUUCUUCCUGGCAAAAGCACUGGCCUAAGCAGCUCAGGAACAACCUACAAUAGAGGGAGGGCCUCUUACCUCGGAUGGAAGUGGAAACAUAGUCUCCACGUUGGAACUGAGUCUUGGUUAUGCUCUGAGAAGUAGCCUGGAUUUCUAAGAUCUCAUGCUCAUCGUUUUCUCUGGAGGCCCAACUCUGUUCUCAUGAGCCCUGGCACGUUCCCUACCAGCAUCUUUGUUUCCUAUCUGAGGAGUGCGGAUGAUGCUUCUCCUGGUAAGGGGUAUGAAUAGAAUUCCUGCCUGUGUUCUAUGUGCUGAAUCCCAGAGCCUAGAGUAGGGCCUGGGCUCUGGCGAUUGACUGGUAAACACUUGUUUUGGAAGAGAUAGUAGAGUCUUUGGAGUUCCUGGCACAAUCUUCUUGGAUAGUUGCCUGUGCCCGUUCUAAACCAGGAUCUGACUAAUUACAACUCCUCCUGCUUGCAUUAAAGUUUUAUUGGAACA